rnacentral:rRNA from 1 species
AUUGAACGCUGGCGGCAUGCCUUACACAUGCAAGUCGAACGGUAACGCGGGGGCAACCCUGGCGACGAGUGGCGAACGGGUGAGUAAUACAUCGGAACAUGUCCAGUAGCGGGGGAUAACCUGUCGAAAGAUAGGCUAAUACCGCAUACGAUCUACGGAUGAAAGCGGGGGACCGCAAGGCCUCGCACUAUUGGAGUGGCCGAUGUCAGAUUAGCUAGUUGGUGGGGUAAAAGCCUACCAAGGCGACGAUCUGUAGCUGGUCUGAGAGGACGAUCAGCCACACUGGAACUGAGACACGGUCCAGACUCCUACGGGAGGCAGCAGUGGGGAAUUUUGGACAAUGGGCGCAAGCCUGAUCCAGCCAUGCCGCGUGAGUGAAGAAGGCCUUCGGGUUGUAAAGCUCUUUCGGUGAAGACGAAACGGUUAGCGUUAAUAGCGCUGACUAAUGACGGUACUCACAGAAGAAGCACCGGCUAACUACGUGCCAGCAGCCGCGGUAA